AGUAUCCUACGGGACGCAGCAGUGGGGAAUAUUGGGCAAUGGGCGCAAGCCUGACCCAGCAAUGCCGCGUGAAGGAAGAAGGCCCUCGGGUUGUAAACUUCUUUUAUCAGGGACGAAGGAUGUGACGGUACCUGAUGAAUAAGCUCCGGCUAACUACGUGCCAGCAGCCGCGGUAAUACGUAGGGAGCAAGCGUUAUCCGGAUUUACUGGGUGUAAAGGGCGCGUAGGCGGGAUGGCAAGUCAGAUGUGAACUCCAGUGUCUCAACCCCUGAACUGCAUUUGAAACUGUCGUUCUUGAGUACUGG
rnacentral:rRNA from 1 species